AGAGAGAGACAUGCGCGCAUAUCAAUAAGCGGAGGAAAAGAAACUAACUAGGAUUCCCUCAGUAACGGCGAGUGAAGCGGGAAGAGCUCGAAUUUGAAAUCUUCAAGGUUCUACCUUGACGAAUUGUAGUUUAAAGAAGUGUUUUCUGUUGGAGUUUUGGUAAAAGUUCUUUGGAAUAGGACAUCAUAGAGGGUGAGAAUCCCGUAUUUGACCAUUAUUUCCAGCUUUGUGAUACACUUUCAAAGAGUCGGAUUGUUUGGGAAUGCAGUCCAAAAUGGGUGGUAAAUUUCAUCUAAAGCUAAAUAUUGGCGAGAGACCGAUAGCGAACAAGUACCGUGAGGGAAAGAUGAAAAGAACUUUGAAAAGAGAGUUAAACAGUACGUGAAAUUGUCAAAAGGGAAGCGUUUGACACCAGUGUUGUUUUUCUGAAAAUCAAUUAAAGAACUGUAUAUGCUAAGUUGCUUAGACUUUAUCAGCUAACUGUUUAGUUUUGAGCUUUUCUUUAAUGCACUUUUCAGUUAACAAGUCAACAUCAAUUUCUUUUGCUGUAAAAAAGCUUGAGGAAGGUGGCUUGAGAUUCGUCUUAAGUGUUUAUAGCCUCUUGCCUAUGCAGUCGGAGAGAUUGAGGUCUGCAGCGUAGAUCCUUCGGGGCUAAAUGCAUUUGUGCUAAGUUAUAGCAUUUUAUAGACAACUUGUUGACUAUGAUUUGUCUUGUAGCUUACUCGCUUAUGUUAUAUUACCUACGCUUAGGAUGUUGAGCGCAUGUCUCUCUCU
rnacentral:rRNA from 1 species